rnacentral:piRNA from 1 species
UNGUAACAUAUUCAGGCCAUAAAGAUGGA